AACGAACGCUGGCGGCAUGCCUAACACAUGCAAGUCGAACGAGCCCUUCGGGUCUAGUGGCGCACGGGUGCGUAACGCGUGGGAACCUGCCCUUAGGUUCGGAAUAACUCCCCGAAAGGGGUGAUAAUACCGGAUAAUGUCUUCGGACCAAAGAUUUAUCGCCUUUGGAUGGGCACGCGUUGGAUUAGCUAGUUGGUAGGGUAAAAGCCUACCAAGGCGACGAUCCAUAGCUGGUCUGAGAGGAUGAUCAGCCACACUGGGACUGAGACACGGCCCAGACUCCUACGGGAGGCAGCAGUGGGGAAUAUUGGACAAUGGGCGAAGGCCUGAUCCAGCAAUGCCGCGUGAGUGAUGAAGGCCUGAGGGUUGUAAAGCUCUUUUACCCGGGAUGAUAAUGACAGUACCGGGAGAAUAAGCUCCGGCUAACUCCGUG
rnacentral:rRNA from 1 species